UACGUAGGUCCCGAGCGUUGUCCGGAUUUAUUGGGCGUAAAGCGAACGCAGGUGGUUUAUUAAGUCUGGUGUAAAAGGCAGUGGCUCAACCAUUGUAUGCAUUGGAAACUGGUAGACUUGAGUGCAGGAGAGGAGAGUGGAAUUCCAUGUGUAGCGGUGAAAUGCGUAGAUAUAUGGAGGAACACCGGUGGCGAAAGCGGCUCUCUGGUCUGUAACUGACGCUGAGGUUCGAAAGCGUGGGUAACAAACAGG
rnacentral:rRNA from 1 species